rnacentral:lncRNA from 1 species
CCACUUACACCUGAGUGAGGAUGGGAAGAAGAGAAGACAAGGACGAAUGUAGGAAACUGUCAGUUAAAUGACAAUGUAUGGAUGGCAAGAGAGAAAGAAUAGUCAGUGAUGGAAAAAUAAUCAAUAACAGCUUUGGGCUUUUGAGUUUGAAAAUGGUGUGUAGGGUGAGACAACAAUAGGAAACUUCUAAUAAAGAAUGAACAAGUACUUCUACUUGUUCAAUGAAUGUGAAUCUGGUACAUACAUUUGAUCCUUAAAAUAUUCUCACUAAACUGGUAUCAUUUAAUGGAACUGUUUAAUGUUAUCCUGGGCAAGUUACUUACUCAAUUUGCCUUAGCAUCUCAUCUGCAAAAUGUGGAUGAGUACCUACCCCCCAGGGUUAUGUCAAAAAUUAGAUAAGAUGAAAAGUAAGUUAUAGUAUUAGAAUGGCACCCAAUACAUAGUUUGGAAUUUUUUAAAAUGUCAGCUAUUAUGAUGAUAACAAUGGUGGCUUACAAGACCUUUGACCAUCUGGCUUCCCUCUCCAAGCAUGCCAAAUUAAUCACACUUCUUAAACACAUCUCUUGACCGGGGUGUUCUCACCAUGCCCUUUCUACAAACAAAAAGUCCUACAAGAGUUGGAGCCAUCCUCUCCUCAUCUUCUACUUUCUGCCUUCUUCUGGGACACGCUAUUGAUCACGAAGUAUCUUAUCCUUGAAAAAUCUCCUCUCUUCAACUCGAGUACUACUGCAGAAAGCAGCAACUUGGCGGCCUUUUAUGGAUGGGUGUUACUGAAGUUAGGACAAAUCUAUAAUAAGUUCAUUUCCUCUAAGAUGUCUACCCAGAAGGACAAUACUUAAUUGGGCACAUAUACUCUAUUGGAUCUAUAUGCUCAUGACUUUAUAAGUAGGCAUUCUGCAUGUAUGUGCAAAACAAAAUAGAACUUAGGAGGAUAAAGCAUCCUGUAAAAUGUGGGACUUAAGACUGUAUCAGGGAAAGGAGAAGAAAAGAAAAAUAUAAAAUCUGAUUUUUAAAAUUAUGACUACUGGAGUGUGCAGAGGUUUUCAAAUGACUUGUUGGUGAAUUGUAAACCUAUAAAAUGUGUGAAGCCAUUUUAUAAAGAAAAGCAAUGUUUAUAAUUUUUUACCCAUAUAAUGAUUUAAAAAUAGAAGAGAUCACCACCUACCCUGAUUCUUUAAACAAGCAUUUGCUUGCUUCAGUGAUUGUGGGUUAGCUAGAUGAUCUUGGAGUUCUUUCUGUGAUUUAGUCAGUGAUAUUGAACAGGCUCUACAGCAAGGAAAGAAGGGGAACUGUAUAAAGUAAAUAAACUUAACAAAGCAGAAGAUACAUGUACCCAGAGAGUUCAACAAUUUAGAAUAUUUGCCUGAUUUUUUUAAAGUCCAAAAGUAAUCUGUAUUGAUUAUAACAGGAAGCUACUUUUCCAAGUUAGAAAAUGUACGUGUGUGGUCAAAGCCGUCUUUAAAACAAAUGCAUUGAAAAAUUUAAAAGGUCCUUUGUGUAAAUCACAAGUCCCUAUAUUGUAUCUUCAUUAAGUCUCUGAAAAUAUUUUAGUCAAUUUAUACAGUCCUUUAAAGAAGGUAGUAUGUGCAAAAAUAUGCACUGAUACCUAACUACAAAAUUAUUUUGCACAUCACAAAUUGUAUACAUGAUUGUCAUGGAUGAAACAUGCUAACAAUCUUUAUUUUAUUUAUUUUUAUUAGUUAUUAAUUUAUUAACAAUUUUUAAUUUGUUUGUUUUUAUUAUUUUAUGCCUUCAUUCAUGAAGAUAACAUACAUUAGUAACCAGUUUUUCAUUUGGCUAGGCUGUUCAAGAAAAUACCCUGUUCUCCGUUUUCUAAAUGCUAUGAAAGUCACAAAGUAAUUAAUUAAAAGACCUCAGUAUCAUGACAACACCAUCAUCCUUCUGGUCAACACAUUUCAGUGAUGCAGAGUGUAUUGUGACAGCCUGCAGAUGACACAAAACAAUCUACAUUAUCAUCAAAUUUCAUGUCUAUACUAAUAAUAAUUUUUCACUGAAUGUAGCAACACCUUUUCUGGCUGGGGUUGGGCUGAGGACAGAAGUGCUGUUGAGAGAGAAAAAAAGGGAGAAAAAAGAAUGCAAGCUGGCAACUAGUUAAUGAAAAUCAUAAUGAUAUCAGUCUUUUUGCACUGGAAAUAUGCACUCCAUCGUGCUCAAAUGGUGGGGAGUGCAGAUCUCUGAUAAGACUAGGGGACUGUGGUCGGGGUUAGGUCGAAGGCAUAAAAUGCCUUCGCACACAUGAAUGCUUACCAUGUGUGACCAAGUGGGAGGAAACUGUGGUGAGACAGGGAAGGAGAGAAAUAACUCACUUAGUGUCUGGCAUGAUGAUGUUGAAUCUCUUCAGUAAUGAUUUCUGUGUUGUGUGUGGGUUAUGGGAGUUUGAUGUUGCUUUAUGCCUGAUGCAAAGAAAUGCCUUUUGGCUCAGAUUAGGUUGUGAUCACUUCAGUUUGGCACCUAGUUACCAGUGUCAGCAUUUACAGUUCAUUCCCAGCCAUGGGUGCAGUAAGUCUCUGAGAUCUCAAAAGCUGUAGGAUGCAACCCACAUUGCCUUCUGGCCUUCGAGGACCAUGCCAAAUUCCUUAAAGCAAUGACAGCUAAGGGUCAUAAGGCGGCACUGAUUCUACCUAUGACCCAGUUUAUUACACUAUGUCAGUAGCAGCUCUUGCAAAUUAAUUUUGCUCAUUACAGCAGAAAAUGAAUCAGGAAGACAGAAUAGGACAAAAUGCUUCCACCAAAAUUUUAUAAGGUAUUUAAAUCAGAGGAAGGGAAAAAUCCCUGGCUUUUUCCCAGACACGAAAGAGAAAGAAAGGAGGCAGCUGAGGUAGAAAUUCUCAUACAUUAUGCAGAUUAUUAUGAUUAAAACCUCCUAAGUAAACUGUGCUGCUGAAUAUCCUUUAGAUUUUGUUUUUGCAAAAUCCCCAAUGCUUUGGAAAUAUGAAAAUUCCAACUACUAGCCUAUGAAACCCUAGAGAACCUGCAGACCAGAAAAGGAAACCUGGCAUAAUAAGAAUAAACAAUGAUUCUGCUUAAGUUGGAUGUGAAUUGUCAAAAGAAAAGUCCAAGGCAGACAAAUUUCAGUCUCUCCAGACCCUUUUCAAACCUUUUCUUCUGACAGCCCCAUAGAGAUUUCUGAGGUCUUUCUUGAGCAGGUCUGGCAGCUGAGCCCUCUUCGUCAGGAGUUCUCAAUGGCCCCCAAGGUGCCUUUGUUUCCUCAAGGGGUUUUCAUAGCAUCCUCAGCUGUGGAAGGCAAUGUAUCGCAUCCUGUAUUACCUUCCCCUGACCUCAUAGCUUCCCAAAACAGGAACAAUCAUGGGCUUUGAAGUAAAGAAUGAAGAUGUGGAGACCUGGAGACAGGUGGCACCUCGUGCUUCCUCCGAAGGGAGAGCCCAUUUCCUAACAGCUGGAUCAAAGGCAUGAAAUGAACAUGGAGUCCCUGAAGAUGAAGAGAAGGCAUGGCUUCCAGGGAGAAAUUGUACAUUACAGGAAUGCAGAUGUGAUUCCUAUGGAUGAGGGUAACCUAGAGGCUAGAAGAACAAUAGGACAGAAGAAGCCUGGGUCCCUGAACAACCUUGUGGAGCAUAGACACCUACGUGGCCUGGACUGCCAGCUCACAAUGGGCCUCUCUGUGAGAGAAGGAAACUUCCCUCUUGUUUAAGCAACUGUGCUUUUGAGAAUCUCUUGGUCUAUACCCUAAUGAAUAAGGCCAUCAUAAAUGGAUAUCAAAGUAAGGAAAUUUGUGUAAAUGAUUUAAUAAAACAUUACCUCAGGUAUGAAAUAA